rnacentral:lncRNA from 1 species
CUAUGGGUAUGACAAUAAGUCAUUGGUUGUGAUUUUUAAGUAAUUUUUAUUUUAUAUGUAUGAGUGUAUUGCCUCCAUGUAUAAGUGCACCCAUGUUGUAUAAUGUAUGUAAAGAUCAAAAGAGGGUGGGGCUGGAGAGAUGACUCAGUGGUGAAGAACACUGGUUGUUCUCGCAGAAGACCCAGGUUCAAAUCCUAGCAUCCACAUGGCAGCUAACGACUGCUCAUAACUCCAGUUCCAGGGGAUUCAAUGGCCUCUUCUGUCCUCUGCGGGCAUUGCACGGCAGGGGUGCACUUACCUACAUGCAGGCAAUACACUCAUACACAUAAAAUAAAAAUAAUAAAUAAAAUAUUUUUUAAAAGAUCAAUAGAGUGUAUGUGGUCCCCUAGAACAGGCAAUAAGGACGGUUGUUAGCUGCCACAUUGGUGCUGGGAACCAAACCUGGGCUCUCUGCAAGAACAGUCAGUGCUCUUAACCACUGAACCAUGUCUCCAACCCCUAGACGUCAUUUUGAUCCUGUAACUAUUCAGUGACAACUAGUAUUAGACUCUCCCCUAUGCUCUGUGACCUAUCUAGUCUCACAUUCCUAAGCCCAAUAUCAAUGUCAGAUAUGGGCUCUAUCUUAUAAAGUGGACUUUAAAUUCAAUUAGAGAGUGGUUGGUUACUCCCAUAGUAUUCAUGCCACUGUUGCACUGGUGGGCAUAUCUUGCCAGGCCAGUUAUUAUUGUAGCUCACAGGAUUCACAGCUGGGUAGGACUGAUGAUUAUUUUCUUCCUUCUUGUAGCAUGCAUAGCACCUUCCAACACUAUGAAAGCUAUCCAGUAGAGAUGUGACUCUGAAGUCAGCAUGAGCUUAAUGUCUUCUUGUUUGUUCUAUAGCUAAUGUAUAUAGUGUGUUCAGUACCAUGCUAUUUUGAUGAUUUCAUUUUUGGCUUUGUUGUAUAACUUGAAAACAGUUAUUGUAAUAUCUCCAAUAUUUUUCUUUUACCCAGGAUUGCUUUGGUUUUCUGGAGUCUUUUGUGCUUCUGUAUAUUUUAUACUUGUUCUGUUUCUCCAAAGAAUGCCAUUGGAAUUUUGGCCAGGACCUUACCCAUGAGAUACUACUGACUGCCCACAUUCAAGGUGAGUCUUCUCUUUUCAGUUAAACCUUUUUGGAAACACCCUCAUAGACACACACCAGAGGUGUGUUUCUCUGAUGGUUCGGUCCUGUCAAGUUGCCAAUACACUUAACCAUUACAGUAAGAUAGCCAUUUUCAGUGUAUUAAUUACCAAUGCAUGAGCAUGGGAUCUUUCCA